GCCGGGCCGGGCGGAGCGGAGCCGAGCGGAGGCUGCACCGGCACCGGGGCCGAACCCGGCCAGCCCGGGCUGGGCCGCAAUUCCCAGUGCUGGCCAGGAAUCACGCUGCGUAUUGUUCUGUGUGUAGGAAAUCGCAUGUACAAAACCAACAUACAGGAUGGGAUAUCAGAGGAACACUCAGAUGUAUAGAAACAACUGCCAGCGAGAGCAGAAAGGUAAAAUAUAAAUAUGUGCUGCCUUGCUUGGCACACACAUGUUUGGAACAGACUUGCUGAGAAAGAGAAGGCUUCCAGCAGUGCUGGACUUGUGCCAAAAGGAAAUGGACUCAUGUUUUCAGGAGCGGUUCCCAGCUUCCAACAUGUACGGAGAGAGGAGGGAGAAAGGAAGGAAGAAAAAGACAUUUCCCCACAAGGCAGGGCACCAGCUCCGCAAGUGACAGCAGUGCUGAGGCCCCCAGGAGCCCAAGCACCUGCCCUGCCAUGGCCCAGAGGGAAGGCAUGAAGAAAGCGGCCUUCACUAGCAAGGUGCAGCCCGGCCCCAUUUGUUGUGUUUUUGAUUAAUAUUACUAACCUUAAAAACCCACAAAAAACCCCAAAACAAAAACAAACAAACCACCAAAACAACAACAAACACCAAAACAAACAGACAAACCCACCAAAACCAAACCAACACCCCCCCACCCCAAAAAAACCCAAAACCCCCCAAAAAACCUAAGAAACCCAGGUGAUGUUUGCCAGCUAUCCCAGUUUUGCAGCAUCAGUCAAGGCUUUAGAGCUGCUGUGCAGCAGUAGGAUUGUGUCUGUGCGCAGGGCUGAUCCCUUUUGGGCUUUUUGUGCUCUUUCAAAACGGAGUUCAUGUUCCACAGUGUGCAAUGGGGUAAGUUUAUGUGCUUGCAUGUACCAUAAAUACUGCAAAAUAGGCUUGUGAGUGUCACUGAUGUGUGCAACAUGGGAACUCACAUCUCUGCAGUAUACAAGCAGUGGGGCUGGUUUCAUUCUCUAGAAAGAGUUCCUAGUUAAGGUCUGUUUUUUUUUCUCCAAAAUUUCUGAUAGCUUUUGCUAGAUUCUCUGGAUAAUCCAGGUUGAAAGAAACAUCAGGAGGUCAGCUAGGCUAAGAUUUUGCUCAAGUAGGGUAAGCUGUGAGGUCACACUGGGUGAUUUAGGGCUGGCUCAUGCUCAUUGGCCUUUAAGCAUUUUUUGGUAGUUUCUUUGUCAUGAUAAUAUUUCAAUAUAUGAAUUUGCAAAUAUAAAUUUACAUCCCUGCCAUGCUUUUUUUUGCCAGAUUCAUAGACAGAAGCUUUUUGAAAGCAAAGAAUUUGACAAUAUGACUUUUCAUUUGUUUGUUUGGGUUUUAAAGAAAAGCACAUUAAAUCCUUAGGUCUGGAUGAUUUAAAGUGACCAGAUAGGUACCAAACACAGAUUGUUUUUUACUACUGACACACAGUUUAAAAUAGUAAGAGGAAAGUCAAGAUCAGAUGGAAUUUUAUGGCCAGAAAUCACUAUUGUGAUAAUUUUGCUUGAAUUUCAUGCAGCACCACUCACAGUUUGCCCUGUAGCUUGUGGUUGAACCAGAGAAGGAUAGUUGGCUUUGUUGGAGUCCUUGGCAUCAUUUUUAAAGCUGGCAUUAAAAAAACUUGACAGCUUUGGGAUGUGGUAAAAUCUCAGCCUAUAGACUAGACUGGACUAAAACCAUUAAAUAUGACACAUAAGGAAAUUUUAAAAUCUGUUUCACCUCAAAGUGCUGAGUGGCCUCAGCAGAACCUGUAGACAUUAAUUCUGCCUGUGGUCUGCAUUCCCCUCUGCAGUUAUGGUGAGGGUUGCCUGUAAAAAUACAAAUUUUCUGGUGUUUUACUGGCAGACUAUUAGAAAGACAUUGCAAAUAUUUCUCUCUUCUGGAUCAUGUCUCCAAAACCUCAUAUAUACAUAAGGGCUUUUUCUUGCAAGACCUGUUGUCUGAUGAAAGCAGCGCCAUCUGGCUUUGUCUUUCUUUUUUUCACCAAAUAUUUGUUGCAGUGUGUAAGACUAAUUUCAACACAACCAGUUUAUUAGCACUGUUGCCAUGUUUUCACUUCACUAGAUCCUCAUACUUGCAAUUAUUUCCCAUUGUUGAUUUUUCUACUUUUACUUGACUCUUGUGUUUUUAUUAAAUCUGGGUGAUUGUACUACUUGUGAAUUAUUUACUUUGACUUUGAGUCAAAGAUCGUGGAAGUAAUAGUGCAUAAAAUAAGUAUGAAAGGUAUCAAGGAAAGGUAUCAAGAAUAUAAUAAUGUCAGUUAUAUAGCCCAUGGAUAUAUAAAUGGCUUGUAUUUACAGGGUAUUUGUUAUAAUUAAUUCCUAUCUGUUUUCAUCAAAUCUUUGUAGAAACUUACAUAGAAUGUAAGUUUAGGGUAACUGCCCCAUGAGGAUGCAUAUUUUACUUUUUUAACUUUGCUGUGACAGUUUCUGCCAUUGCCAAACUGUGCUGCCAACAUCUCUGUUUAAUGCUCUCAUUACUCGUGAAGCAGUUGUACAUCAGUCCAGUGUUACUGAACUACUGAGGUGUGGAGGAAAUUUCCCGUAGAUAAAUGGCACUAAGAUCUGCAAAUGUGAUUUUUAAACCCUCUGUCUAGUCAGAGAUUAAAAUCAAUGGUUGGGCUUCUACCUAAAGAAAUCCUUUCAUUGAGCAUCCUGCUGCUGAAUUUGCCUGAAAGCUGAACCCUGGUUAACUCAGCUCCCUGAAGGUCUGAGGAUGGAGCGGUUCCCCAUCUGUCCCAGGAAUGUCCAGAUUAUAUUGACAAGACUGAGGUCCCUCUGGUGUACAGGGCGAAGAUGCAACUUUACUUUAAAUCACAGGCCUUAGAGGAGAUGUUUGCAGAGGAUCCAGCAGAGAGAAGAGCAACAUUAUACUAAGCAACUGCAUACAACUGCAGGAGAUGACACGAGGCCACCUCUCCUGUGUAGCCCACACUCCAUGUCCGAGCACUGAGUCCAUGGAUAGACCUAUUUAUCCUGAAUGUAUUGCCUGCUUUCCAAUGAUUCCAGCACAUCAGUUAGCACUGGCUGAAAGGCCUGGUCAUGUAUCUAGGAUGUCAUGUAUCUCAGUCACCUUGGGACUCCAAAAGGUUCCUUGUCCUUGUUGUGACCCCUAAACAGGCUUGGAGCUCUGUGUGUCCAUGUGGUGACUCGCCUCAGGAAGCCAAUGGUGUUUGCUGCUUACUUAAAAGCCCUUAAAAGUGAAGUGUCGGUGUACUAAACAGGAGGUUUCUCAUGAGGAGGGUGGAGGAUGAAAGCUGUUUGGAGCACAGGCGUUGACUCCACAGGUCUUGCAUUGCCAUCUGCAUGUGACACAGUUUCUGUAUUCCUUAAGUGGUUAACCUUUGUAAAUAUUGUUUCAACUUCUGGUUAAUGCCGUGGUAGAGGUGCUUGUGACUUUUGGGUGCUCCUCACUGUGGUGUGUUCAGAGUCACCCGAACCAGCCAGGCACAUGGGUGCAAUCCUCACAGCAUAGCACCUGUUCAAACUCGUUUGUGACAUGAGCCUGUCACUAAAUGCACUUUGCAUGGAGGGAGGAUUUUGUGCUGAGAUUUUUGUGCUCUCACCACUUCUUCAGUUCAUGGAAAAUCCAGGAUCAAAGAGCUCAGUAUAACAAGCAGCGAGCAGCGUUGCAUGGAGACGAGAUCAGCAUAUGUUCUUAUUGAAGUUAGAAGUACUUAUGCCCCAUCUUUUAUGUUAGGAGGAAUAAUGGCACUGUCAUUAUGUGUUAAAUCUGCAUAUUUUGCAACACAAUGUGCUCAAUGGGCUCUUUGAUAAAUAUAGCUGCAUGCUAAAAAUAAAAAGUAAAGGUAUUCACUUGCUUAACUUAAAUAUUUAACAUUUCGGAAAGUCCUAACCAUGCUAUUAAAUGUCACGUUCAACUCCUUGAUUUGAUCUAUUUUGCUUUGUUCCUUGUUUUGAUCUAAUUCUUACAUUGCUCUUUCCAUCUAUUUUGUUUUCAUUAUAAAGGUACCUGAGGGAUCAUAGCAGGAAAUGGCACAAGAGGUGAAAGAGGUUUUCAAAAAACCCAGUCUGCUCUUUGAACUCUUGCAAUCCCUGUGGCCACGCAGGAGCAUUUGGAAAUUAAUUGGGUCGUUCAUUUGGGCUUAUGGCAGGCUGAAAGCCAUUGUUUUCUGGCAAAGAAAAGCAGAUAAAUAAUUAAGUACAAACUUUGGAAUUACGCAGUAAUUUUAAAACAACUAUUCAUCAUUGGUCAUAUUUGGUGUGGAAAAGAUGACAGGCUGCCUGUCUGAAAAAUAAACCUCACUUUCAUAGAGUGGCGUGGAGAGAUAAUGCUUGAUGUAAAUCAUAGAAUUGUAAAAUAAUUGUGUUUUUGCUGACUAAGCUGCCCUUCAGGGAGGCCUGCACACAAUUCCCUGGGUACAGCUGGCUCCUGGAAUGGGGAGCAGCAAUCACACUCAUAAAUCCAUACAGCAAUGAAGAUACUGCCCAUUAACUUCUGUGCAGCACCAUUAAGCUUGUUUAUUUAAGAAACCUGAGAGGUAAUGUGGUGGCAUAUUAUUAUGCCUAUUAAAAUCUGUAGGAAUUAAAAACAUGCAACAUUUUUUCUGUCUAAGCUUGUCAUGCAUGUCAGAAUGAUGUGUUGUACCAGUGUCACACUGCAGGAUAAAGAAAGAUAAAUGGAGCC